rnacentral:rRNA from 1 species
UACGAAGGGGGCUAGCGUUGCUCGGAAUUACUGGGCGUAAAGGGCGCGUAGGCGGAUAUUUAAGUCGGGGGUGAAAGCCCGGGGCUCAACCUCGGAAUUGCCUUCGAUACUGGAUAUCUUGAGUUCGGGAGAGGUGAGUGGAAUGCCGAGUGUAGAGGUGAAAUUCGUAGAUAUUCGGCGGAACACCAGUGGCGAAGGCGACUCACUGGCCCGAUACUGACGCUGAGGCGCGAAAGCUAGGGGAGCAAACGGG